CAGAGAUGAGAAUGUGCCUUCGGGAACCGUGAGACAGGUGCUGCAUGGCUGUCGUCAGCUCGUGUUGUGAAAUGUUGGGUUAAGUCCCGCAACGAGCGCAACCCUUAUCCUUUGUUGCCAGCGGUCCGGCCGGGAACUCAAAGGAGACUGCCAGUGAUAAACUGGAGGAAGGUGGGGAUGACGUCAAGUCAUCAUGGCCCUUACGAC
rnacentral:rRNA from 1 species